rnacentral:rRNA from 1 species
GAUGAACGCUGGCGGCGUGCUUAACACAUGCAAGUCGAACGGUGAAGGCGGAGCUUGCUCUGCUGGAUCAGUGGCGAACGGGUGAGUAACGCGUGAGCAAUCUGCCCCUGACUCUGGGAUAAGCGCUGGAAACGGCGUCUAAUACUGGAUACGAGCUGCGAAGGCAUCUUCAGCAGCUGGAAAGAAUUUCGGUCAGGGAUGAGCUCGCGGCCUAUCAGCUUGUUGGUGAGGUAAUGGCUCACCAAGGCGUCGACGGGUAGCCGGCCUGGGAGGGUGACCGGCCACACUGGGACUGAGACACGGCCCAGACUCCUACGGGAGGCAGCAGUGGGGAAUAUUGCACAAUGGGCGAAAGCCUGAUGCAGCAACGCCGCGUGAGGGACGACGGCCUUCGGGUUGUAAACCUCUUUUAGCAGGGAAGAAGCGAAAGUGACGGUACCUGCAGAAAAAGCGCCGGCUAACUACGUG